UACGUAGGGGCCUAGCGUUGUCCGGAAUUAUUGGGCGUAAAGAGCUCGUAGGUGGUUCGGCAAGUCGGAUGUGAAAUCUCCACGCUUAACGUGGAGGGGCCAUUCGAAACUGCUGUGACUUGAGUCCGGUAGGGGAGUGUGGAAUUCCUGGUGUAGCGGUGAAAUGCGCAGAUAUCAGGAGGAACACCGGUGGCGAAGGCGGGUCUCUGGGCCGAUACUGACGCUGAGGAGCGAAAGCGUGGGGAGCGAACAGG
rnacentral:rRNA from 1 species